CGGUAAUUCCAGCUCCAAUAGCGUAUAUUAAAGUUGUUGCCGUUAAAAAGCUCGUAGUCGAACUUCGGCCUUUGCCGCCCGGUCCGCCCUAUGGGUGUGUACUGGAGCGGUGGAGGCUUACCUCGUGGUGAACGGCCAUGCUCUUUACUGGGUGUGGUCGGGAACCAUGAUUUUUACUUUGAAAAAAUUAGAGUGUUCAAAGCAGGCUUACGCCCGAGUACAUUAGCAUGGAAUAAUAAAAUAGGACGUGCGGUUCUAUUUUGUUGGUUUCUAGAAUCGCCGUAAUGAUUAAUAGGGAUAGUCGGGGGCAUUCGUAUUCAAUUGCUAGAGGUGAAAUUCUUGGAUUUAUUGAAGACGAACUACUGCGAAAGCAUUUGCCAAGGAUGUUUUCAUUGAUCAAGAACGAAGGUUAGGGGAUCGAAAACGAUCAGAUACCGUUGUAGUCUCAACAGUAAACGAUGCCGACUAGGGAUCGGACGAGGAUUUUUAAUGGCUCGUUCGGCACCUGAAGAGAAAUCUUUAAGUCUAGGUUCGGGGGGGAGUAUGGUCGCAAGGCUGAAACUUAAAGGAAUUGACGGAAGGGCACCACCAGGUGUGGAGCCUGCGGCUUAAUUUGACUCAACACGGGGAAACUCACCAGGUCCAGACACGACAAGGAUUGACAGAUUGAUAGCUCUUUCUUGAUUUCGUGGUUGGUGGUGCAUGGCCGUCCUUAGUUGGUGGAGUGAUUUGUCUGGUUAAUUCCGAUAACGAACGAGACCUUAACCUGCUAAAUAGCCCGGCCGACUUUGGUUGGUCGCUGGCUUCUUAGAGGGACUAUCAGCGUUUAGCUGAUGGAAGUUUGAGGCAAUAACAGGUCUGUGAUGCCCUUAGAUGUUCUGGGCCGCACGCGCGCUACACUGACCGAACCAGCGAGUUUAUCACCUUGGCCGGAAGGCCUGGGUAAUCUUGUGAAACUCGGUCGUGAUGGGGAUAGAGCAUUGCAAUUAUUGCUCUUCAACGAGGAAUACCUAGUAAGCGUGAGUCAUCAGCUCGCGUUGAAUUCGUCCCUGCCCUUUGUACACACCGCCCGUCGCUACUACCGAUUGAAUGGCUUAGUGAGGUCUCCGGAUUGGCUUCUGGGAGCCGGCAACGGCACCUAGUCGCUGAGAAGUUGAACGAACUUGGUCAUUUAGAGGAAGUAAAAGUCGUAACAAGGUAGCCG
rnacentral:rRNA from 1 species